rnacentral:rRNA from 1 species
AGUCGACGAUGAAUCUUCUAGCUUGCUAGAAGUGGAUUAGUGGCGCACGGGUGAGUAAUGCAUAGGUUAUGUGCCCUUUAGUCUGGGAUAGCCACUGGAAACGGUGAUUAAUACUGGAUACUCCCUACGGGGGAAAGUUUUUCGCUAAAGGAUCAGCCUAUGUCCUAUCAGCUUGUUGGUGAGGUAAUGGCUCACCAAGGCUAUGACGGGUAUCCGGCCUGAGAGGGUGAUCGGACACACUGGAACUGAGACACGGUCCAGACUCCUACGGGAGGCAGCAGUAGGGAAUAUUGCUCAAUGGGGGAAACCCUGAAGCAGCAACGCCGCGUGGAGGAUGAAGGUUUUAGGAUUGUAAACUCCUUUUGUUAGAGAAGAUUAUGACGGUAUCUAACGAAUAAGCACCGGCUAACUCCGUGCCAGCAGCCGCGGUAAUACGGAGGGUGCAAGCGUUACUCGGAAUCACUGGGCGUAAAGAGUGCGUAGGCGGGGUAAUAAGUCAGAUGUGAAAUCCUGUAGCUUAACUACAGAACUGCAUUUGAAACUGUUACUCUGGAGUGUGGGAGAGGUAGGUGGAAUUCUUGGUGUAGGGGUAAAAUCCGUAGAGAUCAAGAGGAAUACUCAUUGCGAAGGCGACCUGCUGGAACAUUACUGACGCUGAUGCACGAAAGCGUGGGGAGCAAACAGGAUUAGAUACCCUGGUAGUCCACGCCCUAAACGAUGGAUGCUAGUUGUUGCCUUGCUUGUCAGGGCAGUAAUGCAGCUAACGCAUUAAGCAUCCCGCCUGGGGAGUACGGUCGCAAGAUUAAAACUCAAAGGAAUAGACGGGGACCCGCACAAGCGGUGGAGCAUGUGGUUUAAUUCGAAGAUACGCGAAGAACCUUACCUAGGCUUGACAUUGAUAGAAUCUACU